UACGGAGGAUGCGAGCGUUAUCCGGAUUUAUUGGGUUUAAAGGGUGCGUAGGCGGACUGUCAAGUCAGCGGUGAAAUUGAGAGGCUCAACCUCUUCCCGCCGUUGAAACUGGUGGUCUUGAGUGGAUGAGAAGUACGCGGAAUGCGUGGUGUAGCGGUGAAAUGCAUAGAUAUCACGCAGAACUCCGAUUGCGAAGGCAGCGUACCGGCAUCCAACUGACGCUGAGGCACGAAAGCGUGGGGAUCAAACAGG
rnacentral:rRNA from 1 species